UGCAAGUCGAGCGGAUGAAGGGAGCUUGCUCUGGAUUCAGCGGCGGACGGGUGAGUAAUGCCUAGGAAUCUGCCUGGUAGUGGGGGAUAACGUCCGGAAACGGGCGCUAAUACCGCAUACGUCCUGAGGGAGAAAGUGGGGGAUCUUCGGACCUCACGCUAUCAGAUGAGCCUAGGUCGGAUUAGCUAGUUGGUGGGGUAAAGGCCUACCAAGGCGACGAUCCGUAACUGGUCUGAGAGGAUGAUCAGUCACACUGGAACUGAGACACGGUCCAGACUCCUACGGGAGGCAGCAGUGGGGAAUAUUGGACAAUGGGCGAAAGCCUGAUCCAGCCAUGCCGCGUGUGUGAAGAAGGUCUUCGGAUUGUAAAGCACUUUAAGUUGGGAGGAAGGGCAGUAAGUUAAUACCUUGCUGUUUUGACGUUACCAACAGAAUAAGCACCGGCUAACUUCGUGCCAGCAGCCGCGGUAAUACGAAGGGUGCAAGCGUUAAUCGGAAUUACUGGGCGUAAAGCGCGCGUAGGUGGUUCAGCAAGUUGGAUGUGAAAUCCCCGGGCUCAACCUGGGAACUGCAUCCAAAACUACUGAGCUAGAGUACGGUAGAGGGUGGUGGAAUUUCCUGUGUAGCGGUGAAAUGCGUAGAUAUAGGAAGGAACACCAGUGGCGAAGGCGACCACCUGGACUGAUACUGACACUGAGGUGCGAAAGCGUGGGGAGCAAACAGGAUUAGAUACCCUGGUAGUCCACGCCGUAAACGAUGUCGACUUGGAGGUUGUGCCCUUGAGGCGUGGCUUCCGGAGCUAACGCGUUAAGUCGACCGCCUGGGGAGUACGGCCGCAAGGUUAAAACUCAAAUGAAUUGACGGGGGCCCGCACAAGCGGUGGAGCAUGUGGUUUAAUUCGAUGCAACGCGAAGAACCUUACCUGGUCUUGACAUCCACGGAAGUUUUCAGAGAUGAGAAUGUGCCUUCGGGAACCGUGAGACAGGUGCUGCAUGGCUGUCGUCAGCUCGUGUUGUGAAAUGUUGGGUUAAGUCCCGCAACGAGCGCAACCCUUAUCCUUUGUUGCCAGCGGUCCGGCCGGGAACUCAAAGGAGACUGCCAGUGAUAAACUGGAGGAAGGUGGGGAUGACGUCAAGUCAUCAUGGCCCUUACGACCAGGGCUACACACGUGCUACAAUGGCGCAUACAAAGAGAAGCGACCUCGCGAGAGCAAGCGGACCUCAUAAAGUGCGUCGUAGUCCGGAUUGGAGUCUGCAACUCGACUCCAUGAAGUCGGAAUCGCUAGUAAUCGUGGAUCAGAAUGCCACGGUGAAUACGUUCCCGGGCCUUGUACACACCGCCCGUCACACCAUGGGAGUGGGUUGCAAAAGAAGUGGGUAGCUUAACCUUCGGGAGGGCGCUUACCACUUUGUGAUUCAUGGCUGGGGUGAAGUCGUAACAAGGUA
rnacentral:rRNA from 1 species